rnacentral:lncRNA from 10 species
GAUUCUGAAAACCAAAGUCUCAUUGUUAUUCUGACAGCCUCUUUUCACUUUCAGGGUUUUUGUUGAGAUGAGGCUUGAAUGUAGUGUAGGGAGGAUUUCAAUUGUGCAACUGUCUUUGGCUUUAUACAAAUAUUUAACCAACAGGAAACUUCUUGAGGACAAAUAAAAAAGCAAAGAGAAAAAGGUGCUGUUAGACCUUCAAUAAAACAUCUCAAGGACUGAGAAAUGACUUCGGGCAUUCCCUUUUCAAAAGAUGCUAUCUCAUUUCCUUACUAAAGAGAUGAGAAAAAGGGUGGAAAUUGAGAGAUGCAAGGUGCAUGAAAUUAUCAACAUGUUACCAAGAAGAUGAAUUCUGUGUGUGACCCGUCAGCAUCGUCGAUACGUAACAGUGUUAUGGCAGAGCUCCAGCAUAAAGCCACAGCAUGACACCAGGGUUGGAGAGGACCUAAUACCUGCAGUCUUGGGCAGCCAGGGGAUUUGUUGCUCUACACCAAUUUGCUCAAAUAUAGAAAACAUAUAUUUACUGUUUCCUGUAGAUGUAUCAGCAGCUCCUUUCCCAGGGAUGGUUGAAAAGCUUUGGCUCCGUUUUGCUGUCUGCUCUCUAAACUUUCUACCCUUCUUUAACUUGCUGACUAUCCAUUUGGAUGCUGGCUGACUGAUUUCUCAAUGAACCUCCUCUUCAAAUUGGGCUUUCACAAAUUGAACAUACUAUCUGUGGUGGGUAGUAUUGUCCACAGGUAUCCACAAGUGAGGGAGAAGGCAGCAUAUUGAAUAUACUCUCUGUGGUUGGUAGUGAGAGGUGACAGCGUGCUGGCAGUCCUCACAGCCCUCGUGC